rnacentral:rRNA from 1 species
UACAGUAGUACUGCCUUUAAGACGAGGAUAACAAAUGGAAACAUUUGCUAAGACUGGAUAGGAAACAAGAAGGCAUCUUUUUGUUUUUAAAAGACCUCCUAAAAAAAGGUAUGCUUAAAGAGGGGCUUGCGCCACAUUAGUUUGUUGGUAAGGUAAUGGCUUACCAAGACUAUGAUGUGUAGCUGGACUGAGAGGUUGAACAGCCACAUUGGGACUGAGACACGGCCCAAACUCCUACGGGAGGCAGCAGUAGGGAAUUUUCGGCAAUGGAGGAAACUCUGACCGAGCAAUGCCGCGUGAACGAUGAAGUAUUUCGGUAUGUAAAGUUCUUUUAUUGAAGAAGAAAAAUAGUGGAAAAACUAUCUUGACGCUAUUCAAUGAAUAAGCCCCGGCUAACUAUGUGCCAGCAGCCGCGGUAAGACAUAGGGGGCGAGCGUUAUCCGGAAUUAUUGGGCGUAAAGGGUGCGUAGGCGGUUAGUUAAGUCUAUAAUUUAAUUUCAACGCUUAACGUUGUUUUGUUAUAGAAACUGCCUAACUAGAGUGAGAUAGAGGCAAGUGGAAUUCCAUGUGUAGCGGUAAAAUGUGUAAAUAUAUGGAGGAACACCAGAAGCGUAGGCGGCUUGCUGGGUCUUUACUGACGCUGAGGCACGAAAGCGUGGGUAGCAAACAGGAUUAGAUACCCUGGUAGUCCACGCCGUAAACGAUGAGUACUAAGUGUCAGGGUAAAACUUGGUACUGAAGUUAACACAUUAAGUACUCCGCCUGAGUAGUACGUACGCAAGUAUGAAACUUAAAGGAAUUGACGGGACUCCGCACAAGCGGUGGAUCAUGUUGUUUAAUUCGAAGAUACACGAAAAACCUUACCAGGUCUUGACAUACUCUGCAAAGUUAUAGAAAUAUAAUGGAGGUUAUCAGGGAUACAGGUGGUGCAUGGUUGUCGUCAGCUCGUGUCGUGAGAUGUUAGGUUAAGUCCUAAAACGAGCGCAACCCUUGUCGUUAGUACACCGUAAGA